GACAGAGGGGGCAAGCGUUGCUCGGAAUUACUGGGCGUAAAGGGCGCGUAGGCGGGAUGGCAAGUCGGUCGUGAAAUCCCUCGGCUCAACCGAGGAACGUCGAUCGAUACUGCUGUUCUUGAGGAUUGCAGAGGAGACUGGAAUUCCCGGUGUAGCGGUGAAAUGUGUAGAGAUCGGGAGGAACACCGGUGGCGAAGGCGGGUCUCUGGGCAAUUCCUGACGCUGAGGCGCGAAAGCGUGGGGGGCAAACAGG
rnacentral:rRNA from 1 species